rnacentral:snRNA from 1 species
GGAUAUGUAUCUAGCUGUGAAAUCAGGCAUCCCGUGGAUCACCAGGGUUGAUUUGGCUGAUGUGACUGGCAAGGGAGUGUCCCCUUCCUACCUCACGGUGCCAUGUGUGUCCCUCCAAAGCUGCUUGGUGCUCAGUGGAAGAGGACGGUCACCCCAUCAAGGGUAUAGGAAUAGCUGCAUCCCUGCUAGAACCUUCAGGUAAGCUCUGAUACUAAACUUUCCCCUUUAAGUUGUGGAUGUUAGGUACUGUGUCUCUGCAAGCAAAGUGACUAAAACA